rnacentral:rRNA from 1 species
GACGAACGCUGGCGGCGUGCUUAACACAUGCAAGUCGAACGGAAAGGCCCUGCUUUUGUGGGGUGCUCGAGUGGCGAACGGGUGAGUAACACGUGAGUAACCUGCCCUUGACUUUGGGAUAACUUCAGGAAACUGGGGCUAAUACCGGAUAGGAGCUCCUGCUGCAUGGUGGGGGUUGGAAAGUUUCGGCGGUUGGGGAUGGACUCGCGGCUUAUCAGCUUGUUGGUGGGGUAGUGGCUUACCAAGGCUUUGACGGGUAGCCGGCCUGAGAGGGUGACCGGCCACAUUGGGACUGAGAUACGGCCCAGACUCCUACGGGAGGCAGCAGUGGGGAAUAUUGCACAAUGGGCGGAAGCCUGAUGCAGCAACGCCGCGUGCGGGAUGACGGCCUUCGAGUUGUAAACCGCUUUCGCCUGUGACGAAGCGUGAGUGACGGUAAUGGGUAAAGAAGCACCGGCUAACUACGU